GAAGGAGCCCCAUGGCUUCCUGUACCCUGGACGCUGCCUGGGGAAGGCAGACACGUCUCCCCCAGCCCAGUCUCUCUGCUCAUGAACCCAGUCCCACCAAGUUGCAGAUGCCACUAUGAUUCCACCCUGACUUCCCUGGGCAGACAACUUCACCAAUAUGUCCUGGGACCUCACUUCUCCAGAGCCCUGCCCCACUGGGGAAGAAGAGAAACAGGCUGGGGAGUAGUAUGCCACUGCAUACCUAUACCAGGACUUCUUCCCCAGUACCCUGCCCUUGGACAUCAAGGGAGCAUCCACACUGUGGCUGUGGUGACACAUCCGCUGUGAACACAGGGUGCAGGCAGCCUUCCAGUGACUGCUCCCCGUCCUUGAGUGCUCGCCUAGGAGAGUCAUUGCAGGCUUGGGAGGUCAACACUCAAGCCACUGAACCAUCUUCCGGGCUGCUGACAAGGGAGGAUUCUGAGUCCUGUGGAGGAGGCAGUGGAGCAGAUCAGGAGGCCUCGUGGGCAGAGAGGGUGCUUCCUGGGGAAUGUCCAAAUGUCAGAGUUCACAGUCCAGG